rnacentral:rRNA from 1 species
GGUGAACGCUGGCGGCGUGCCUAACACACGCAAGUCGAACGGAGUUGUUAUUAGGAAGUUUUCGGAUGGAAUAAUAAUAACUUAGUGGCGGACGGGUGAGUAACGCGUGGGUAACCUGCCUCAUACAGGGGGAUAACAGUUGGAAACGGCUGCUAAAACCGCAUGACAUUGCGAUGUCGCAUGACAAUGCAAUGAAAUAUUUAUAGGUAUGAGAUGGGCCCGCGUCUGAUUAGCUAGUUGGUGAGGUAAUGGCCCACCAAGGCGACGAUCAGUAGCCGGCUUGAGAGAGUGACCGGCCACAUUGGGACUGAGACACGGCCCAAACUCCUACGGGAGGCAGCAGUGGGGAAUAUUGCACAAUGGGGGAAACCCUGAUGCAGCGACGCCGCGUGAGUGAAGAAGUAUUUCGGUAUGUAAAGCUCUAUCAGCAGGGAAGAAAAUGACGGUACCUGACUAAGAAGCCCCGGCUAACUACGUGCCAGCCGCCGCGGUAA